UUGGCAUAAUGUUGGCAUGAGAAAUAGUCAUGUUGAGAGUUAAGACAGGGAUUGAGAAAAGCUAAAUUAGUUUAAGCCGUGUCAAAUUAUUCUCAAGGAAGUCAUAUAUUUAAGGGACAGCCUUGGUCAGCUGUUCCUCAGCGUAUGGGAAGGUGGGCAAGUUGGCAUCAUGACUUCCGCUAUGGAGCAAGCCAGUCUCAUGGGCAUGUGGCCUUCGAUAGCAUGGCUCUGCUGUCCUCUAUCUCACCCUCGCCCACUCUUAUUUUGCCCUCCAGUUACUACACACCCCUGCCCAAGCCUGUGCCAUUGCCUGGGGCUGCUCCAUCUCAGUAGUGUAGCUUUGCAACAUUGAAAUUGAGUUUUGUCUCUAUAAGGGAUGUCUGACCAUUCAGUGAGUAUUUUCAAUGUAUCUAUUAUAUAUUUGUAAAUGGAAGGGGAUCAUACAAUGUUUGCUUUAAAAUUUGUUUUGUCACAUAGGAAAGUAUGACCAUCUUUCCAUAUAUCAUGAGCAUCCCCUCCCACCAGCUGCAAGUUCUCCUUCCAUCAUGCAUCUACUCCUUCCCUCUGUUCUCUUUGGUUGACACCUUCCUUUCCAUUAAUAAACACGUUCAUCUCUCUACCAUUCUUAGAAAAACAACCAACCAAAACUCCCUUGAAACUGUAUGUCCCCUCCUUCUACUACUACCUUUCUCUCCUCCUCCUCCCUUCACAGGGAUCCUCAAACCAUCUGCAUUCACUGAAUUCACUCCUCGCUUUUUAAUUUCAAUUUUUUUUAGAGAGGGGGCUCUCGCCUCCUUGGCUUCCGCGUUGUCAAAACCAUUGGCCACUUCAGGCCCCCCACACUGCCUGCCAUUUGACAGCAGGGAUCCUUCCACUAUUCCUAGCUCCUUCUAGGGUGUCUUACUGUACUGUGAGGGGUAGGAAACAAAAAGCUACAUUUUGUGGACACUCUUGAAGUUGGGUUAUGCAAAUUAGGUUUUCAGAAUCUAGAAAGCAGAUGUGAGACAGGCCAUAUUUUUUGCAGUUUUCUUUGUUUUCUCCUGGGAAACAAGAUCAUUGAAGACAUGGGAUGUUCGUGCAUCAGCUUUCCACUAUCCAGUCCCCACUUUGUGGGAAUGGAGGACACAGUUGCAGUUAUGGUGGCCACAGUACUGUGUUACAAAACCCAGCUAAGUUCUACAGGUGGCUUUACAGUAGCCUGACUGUUACAGGAGUGGUCGCUCCUUUAUGGAGUUACUUCUGGGUGUUCAGAGAGAUUUUCCUGGAGGCCCAAAUAGAGGUCAUUUUUCAGUGUACCGAAUGAUUUUUACUACCUAUUUGCCUGUAUCAAAUUCCUUUUCUGCUGGCUUCUAUUUCUUGUACUGAACCUUCACCAUUUGGUAUCAGAAGUGGCUGUAGCCAAUAGGCCCUUAAGGAUGACAAUAUUCAUUUGCUAAAAGAAAAUAACGGCUGGGAGCGGUGGCUCACACUUUUAAUCCCAGCAUUUUGGGAGGCCGAGGCGGGUGGAUCACCUGAGGUCAAGAGUUUGAGACCAGCCUGGCCAACAUGGUGAAACCCUGUCUCUACUAAAAUGACAAAAAUUAGCUGGGCGUGGUGGUGUGCACCUGUAAUCCCAGCUACUCAGGAGGCUGAGGCAGAAUUGCUUG
rnacentral:lncRNA from 10 species